UUGAACGCUGCCGGCAGGCCUAACACAUGCAAGUCGAGCGGAAACGAUCCUAGCUUGCUAGGAGGCGUCGAGCGGCGGACGGGUGAGUAAUGCAUAGGAAUCUGCCCGGUAGUGGGGGAUAACUUGAGGAAACUCAAGCUAAUACCGCAUACGCCCUACGGGGGAAAGCAGGGGCUCUUCGGACCUUGCGCUAUCGGAUGAGCUUAUGUCGGAUUAGCUGGUUGGUGAGGUAACGGCUCACCAAGGCGACGAUCCGUAGCUGGUCUGAGAGGAUGAUCAGCCACAUCGGGACUGAGACACGGCCCGAACUCCUACGGGAGGCAGCAGUGGGGAAUAUUGGACAAUGGGGGCAACCCUGAUCCAGCCAUGCCGCGUGUGUGAAGAAGGCCCUCGGGUUGUAAAGCACUUUCAGCGAGGAAGAAUGCUUGUCGGUUAAUACCCGGCAAGGGAGACAUCACUCGCAGAAGAAGCACCGGCUAACUCCGUGCCAGCAGCCGCGGUAAUACGGAGGGUGCGAGCGUUAAUCGGAAUUACUGGGCGUAAAGCGUGCGUAGGCGGCUUGAUAAGCCGGUUGUGAAAGCCCCGGGCUCAACCUGGGAACGGCAUCCGGAACUGUUAGGCUAGAGUGCAGGAGAGGAAGGUAGAAUUCCCGGUGUAGCGGUGAAAUGCGUAGAGAUCGGGAGGAAUACCAGUGGCGAAGGCGGCCUUCUGGACUGACACUGACGCUGAGGUACGAAAGCGUGGGUAGCAAACAGGAUUAGAUACCCUGGUAGUCCACGCCGUAAACGAUGUCGACUAGCCGU
rnacentral:rRNA from 1 species